rnacentral:rRNA from 1 species
AUGGAAGCCACCGGAGUGGACGCCGACGAAGUCGCGCGUGCCCUAGGAAGGUGGCGGCGGGGCGUCUCGCUUCGGUUGGCUGCUAGUAUCUCGGAGUGCAUCUUGCGGCGGCCGGUGGUGCGCAUCGGUCAGGAGGUCGGUGCUGCUUGCGAGGAGGCGUCCCUCUUAGCAGUAGGGCUACGCUGGAUGGUGGCCUCGCGGCAGCCUGUGGAUGGCCCGGAUCUGGGUGCCUGCAGAGGUGGUUUUGGCGAUGGUCGGCCACGGUGGAUGGGCUUGGGCUCCUCCAGGUUGGCCAUGGUGAGCGGUGGAGCCAUGGAUUGGGGCCCCGGCGCCCUGAUCAUUUCGGUUGGGGCUGUGUUGCUCGAUGGCUUGGUGGCGGCAGAUGACGUGCUUCGAAAGCUGUAUUUUUUGGGUGGUGUUCCUGGCUGGAUUGAUGGUGGCGGAUGA